AAUUACUAAAAAAUAGUAAAUAAUGAAAUAAAAAAUAUUAAAAAUCAUUUUUAGAAAGUAGGAAUUAAAAGAGAAAUAAUGCAAUUGGUCCCAUAAUUUUUGGACCAAUAAUGAAAGAGAUAUGAAUUUUAGAAAUAAAAUGGAAUCAAAAGAAAUAAAAGAAAAUAAAAGUCAGACUUUAAAAAUAACAAAAAGCGUGGAGCGUUGGUUGGAGAGCUCAUU
rnacentral:lncRNA from 1 species